GGACGAAGUCGUAACAAGGUACCCGUACCGGAAGGUGCGGGUGGAUCACCUCCUUUCUAAGGAGCAU
rnacentral:rRNA from 1 species